AUGAGAGUCUGUCUUUGCUCCUCCGUCCAGUGCUGGUCAGCAUCUGCAUACUGUGUUCUCCCCGUGGAAGUGCCGCCUCUUCGGCAUUUGGGAAAGAGGACGGGGCGGCAGGACUAUCACAGUCAGAAGCCGGUUCCCUCUCGGGGUGGCCCCUCUGCGUGGGGACCUGAGAUGGAGACGAAAUCCUGGAGAUCAGGGGCCCUCGGUGCCCCGCGGCGCCCUUCGCUGGGAGGCAGAGGGACGAUGGACAGCACAGAAGGGGAUGGCGGCUGGAGCCGGACUCUGGGCUGCAGGAUGUGGAGACGGAGGCAGGGGCUCAGGCCAGAGCCCGAGAGGCUGAAACAGAAGAGGCGCUUCUGUGCAGCCCAGUGGAGCGCAGUGCUUCUGACCGCGGCCUCCCAGCCCCUGGACACGACAAGAAGAAAGGUGGCCUCAAGUCCCUGCGUCCGUGGGAAGGGGUGACAGCAGCGCAGGAAGCCCAGACGGGGCGUGGGGGUCAGCCGAGGGCCAAGGUGACUCUUCUCAGCCUCCCCUGAAGCUGCCCGACGUCCUGGGUCCGACCCAUGGGAGCCCCUGCGGGCAGGGCAGCCACCUCUGGAGAGUCUUCCUGGAGGAAGGGCCCGACCCCCGUCCUUCCUACCGGCGGGGCCCACGGGUCCCCUGGGAUGUGCAGCCAUCGGCACCAGGAGGUGAAUCUGGGGGUCAAGUCUAUGCACGGCGGUCAACAAGACGGGAGAAGCCUGGGACCAGACCCGGAGCUCCCCUGCCCCGGGCUGCCUGCCCCGUAUCUCACGUCUGGGAGCGUCCACUGUGUUCUGUUGACACAAGGGCCGGCGGGCCUGUCCCUCAGCCCACUCUGAUCACCACGAGACAAACAGGUCGCCGGCACGGCUCCUCGUCCGCCUUCUCCCCAGGGCCCUGGGCAGCGCCUGGGUUUCUUCCUCACGACAGCUUCAAGGACCAGCUUCACGACCUAAAUGCAAGGUCCCUCCCAGACCACCCGCCUCCCACUUUAGGGGAAAAUAGGAGAAGGAGUGAGCCUGCCCCCCUGUGAACUCGCUUCACCUCUAAAGUUUCCCCAGGCGUUGGGCUGCUUGGAAUCACGGAUCAGUAUUUCUUUGCUCUUUCUUUGGACGGUUGUCUUUAAUUUCAUGUUCGUCUCGCGGUGUGCAUCGCCGGCUCGUGGGAGAUGGGAGCCUGCUCUCUAGGGAUACAGCUGCGUCCGCACCGCCAGCGUUGCUCUCAGCGUAGCAUUUUACGGGGGCACGUGCGCCCCUCUGAUGGCCUCUUACUCGAGCGUCUUAAAAACCUAACAGUAGUGCGAUUCACGAAGUCCCACAUCCCUGAAGCGCGUUUUUCCUUCUGUUGAUGGAACAAAGGCUUCCAUUGCUUUCAUGACUUAGUUUCCAAAUGUCUCUUUGUGAGGCCAGCGGAGAUGGAGUUACAAGUGUUGGCGUCUGGCUGGUGACCCAACACAUCCCGCUCGCCCGGAGUGAGAGGAGAUUAAAGCCGGCCCUUGGAUGCCAGUGCUGCGGGAAUUUGGAGAAACGCACCGACAGUAACGGCGGCAUUUAAUUAUGUGCAGCUUAUCGUGGUGUGAUGACUAAAGCCCUUGAGACGCUUGUGAAAACAGAUUCCGCGGCCCGGGUUUGUACCGUCCUGUCUUGAACCCGGCCAGGAAAAGACAUGUCUUCUUUUUCCCUUUCCUCAGCAUCUUGGCACCGUCAGUUCCCAUCCCCGCCAAGAUCUCGCAGCGCAGAGAGCGGCGAUUGAGAAGAGCUCUUUUAAAAGGCCGACUGCACAGUGGUUGGCUUGGGCCUGGAGAUGACUCUUCAGCCCCGCUCUUUCAGCGGCCUGCUUUCGGCGGGUUCCGCCAGCUGCCUCGCGAGGAUGACGGCUCGUUAUCCCUUCCCUGGCCCUUGGCGCCCCGCAAGCCAUGUUUCCUCGCUGACGGGGUGGCGCUAACUGAGUAUGACCUUUGCAGAAAUAGGUCGCAGAGGGUCAGCGUUUCCUAAUCGAAUGUGAUGUUUGAAUUCAAUGAAUUGGACUGACUUAGAUUAUUUUCCUUUUUAGAGCCGCACUUGCACCUGACGUAAGUUCCUGGACCAGGGGUCGAUUUGGCGCUGUAGCUGCCGGCCUACGCCACACAGCAGCAUGGGAUCCAAGCCACCUCUGUGACCCCCACCACAGCUUGUGGCCACACUGGAUCCUUAACCCACUGAGCAAGACCGAGGAUCGGACCUGCACCCUCACGACACGAUGUCAGGUUCUUAACCCACUGAGCGACGGUGGAAACGCCUAGAUUUUUAAACUGAGUACUGUUUCUCUGAGAUUUUGUGUCUUUGAAAGAAACUUACCUGUAACUUUAAAGAUUGCGCGAGGUUGGUGAGCAGCUCUGUGCUCACACAGGCGUGUCCAGGGUGCUUGGGAAACCGCACAGCUUUAGUGGGAGGUUAAGUUUCCCAAAGUCAAGGGCUGGACAAGGGGCCUCUCAGUGCACAUCUCGAAAGGCUAAAGAAACGGACAGAACGUUGUAAAUCAACUAAAAUAAAUUUUUAAAAAGAAAAGGAAAAAACA
rnacentral:lncRNA from 1 species